UAAAUGUACAAACAAUAGAAAACUGGUUAAAUAAACCACAGAAUGGAUUUACACAUAGCCAACACAAAUUAUAUCAUAAUACUACUUAAUUUAUGGUAAAAUGUAUAAAGGGGAAAAGGCAAUUAUUACAAUCUCAUUAAAAAUGUGUACCUUAGAAAAAUGUUUUAAAAAAUAUAUAAACACAUAGAAACAGCAUACAUAAAAAAUUAACACUGGUUGAUAUUAAUUUUUGCAGUCCCAGCACAUAUUCAAGCAGCCUGGAUAAUCACCUGCCAGGGCUCCAUCCUGGGUGAAAAAUUGGCCAUAUGU